rnacentral:rRNA from 1 species
GGGCGGGGAUGAACCUGCGGCUUAUCAGGUAGUUGGUAGGGUAACGGCCUACCAAGCCAAUAACGAGUAGCUGGCCUGGGAGGGUGGUCAGCCAGAGGGGCACUGAUAUACGGGCCCCACUCCUACGGGAGGCAGCAAUCAGGAAUAGUCGGCAAUGGGCGAAAGCCUGACCGCGCGACGCCGUGUGUAGGAAUAAGCUCUAACGAGUGUAAACUACUGUGGUAAAGGAAGAAGUCCCGCCUUUGGCGGGAUUGACGGUACUUUACUAGAAAGGGGCCGCUAACUGCGUGCCAGAAGCGUCGGUAAUACGUGGGCCCCGAACAUUAUCCGGUUUUAUUGGGUGUAAAAGGUCGUGUAGGUGUCUUAAUAAGUCUUAUUUUAAAUACUGUGACUCAAUCAUAGGAAAAGGUAGGAUACUGUUAAGAUCGAGUUUACUUUAGGGAGAUUGGAACUUAGGGAGGAGUAGUGAAAUGCGUUGAUACCCUAGGGAACACCAGUGGCGAAGGCGAAUCUCUGAAAGUUUACUGACACUGAGACACGAAAGCUAGGGGAGCGAAGCAGAUUAGAGACCUGCGUAGUCCUAGCCGUAAACGCAUGCUUGCUAGCCGCAUUUUUUAGCCGCAAGGUUGAAAGGUGUAGCGUAGGUAACCCGUUAAGCAAGCCACCUGGGGAGUACGGCCGCAAGGUUGAAACUCAAAGGAAUUGGCGGGGAGGCACACAACCAGUGGAACAUGUGGUUCAAUUCGAAACGAACCGAAGAACCUCACCAGGGUUUGACAUGCCGAUGAUCUAUUUUUCGUGAAAGCGGGGUUUCCGCAAGGACAUCGGCACAGGUACUGCAUGGCUGUCGUCAGCUCGUUCCGUGAGGAGUGCCCUUAAGUGGGACAACGAGCGCAACCCCUAUCUGCUGUUAUAUGUAUCAGCCGAGACAGCCCCGACUUAGUCGGGGAGGAAGGUGGGGCAGACGUCAAGUCAGCAUGGUCCUUAUACCCUGGGCUACACACAUGUUACAAUGGGUAGUAACAACGGGUGCUAAACCGCAAGGUCAAGCCAAUCCCUGAAAUCUACCCUCAGUGGGGAUUGAGGUCUGCAACUCGACCUCAUGAACACGGAAUUGGUAGUAAUCGCGGAUCAGCUAUGCCGCGGUGAAUACGUUCUUGCCUCUUGCACACACCGCCC